CAGUCGCCACGGUAACACGGAGGGAGCUAGCGUUGUUCGGAAUUACUGGGCGUAAAGCGCGCGUAGGCGGUUACUCAAGUCAGAGGUGAAAGCCCGGGGCUCAACCCCGGAACUGCCUUUGAAACUAGGUGACUAGAAUCUUGGAGAGGUCAGUGGAAUUCCGAGUGUAGAGGUGAAAUUCGUAGAUAUUCGGAAGAACACCAGUGGCGAAGGCGACUGACUGGACAAGUAUUGACGCUGAGGUGCGAAAGCGUGGGGAGCAAACAGGAUUAGAUACCCGCGUAGUCCCUGUCUCUUAUAC
rnacentral:rRNA from 1 species